UUCUUUAAGUGCUCAUUUAAAGUAAAGCCUGCUCAAUGAUAAUUCAAAUAGCCGCAGUAUCACUCUGUGCUAAGGUAGCACAAUAAUUUGCUUCUUAAUUAGAAGAUAGAAUGAAUGGCCGUACACCUAAGCUUUGUGUCUAAUAAUUAUAAUUAAAUUAAAAAAAAGGUAAAAAUACCUUUAAAACUAAGCGGGACGACAAGACCCCGACAAACUUUAUAUUUAGUUGGGGAAACAAUAUAAAAACACUUUACUAAUAUCACCACACAACUUCAAAAUAAAAACAAGAACAGUUACUACGGGGAUAACAGCGCAAUGUCUUUCAAGAGAUCCUAUCCAAAAAGAUGAUUACGACCUCGAUGUUGAAUUAAUUAACCUAAACAGCGCAACAGCUUUAUUAAAGGUAGUCCGUUCGACUAUUAAAUAAUU
rnacentral:rRNA from 1 species